AGAGUUUGAUCCUGGCUCAGAGCGAACGCUGGCGGCAUGCCUAACACAUGCAAGUCGCGCGGGGGGCAACCUCAGCGGCGGACGGGUGAGUAACGCGUGGGAAUCUGUCUCCGGGUGGGGGAUAACUGUGGGAAACUACAGCUAAUACCGCAUGAAGCCUGAGGGCCAAAGCAGUGAUGCGCCUGGAGAGGAGCCCGCGU
rnacentral:rRNA from 1 species